UACGGAGGGGGCUAGUGUUGUUCGGAAUUACUGGGCGUAAAGGGCGCGUAGGCGGCCAUCUAAGUCAGACGUGAAAUCCCCCGGCUUAACCUGGGAACUGCGUCUGAUACUGGACGGCUUGAGUAUGGGAGAGGGAUGUAGAAUUCCAGGUGUAGCGGUGAAAUGCGUAGAUAUCUGGAGGAAUACCGGUGGCGAAGGCGGCAUCCUGGACCAUUACUGACGCUGAGGCGCGAAAGCUAGGGGAGCAAACGGG
rnacentral:rRNA from 1 species